CUGGAGGAUGCUACGGAGCUCGGAAUUAAAUGAGGGGCUCCUUGGGUGGUUUGGAGUGGACGGGGAGCCGGGCGGGAUCACCCUAGGGAAAGGAGGAAAGCCCACCGGCCUUCGGGCAGUGAACAGCACAGCUCACCUGACUACUGAGCGACGUGGCCGAGGAGUGUCUAGUUCAUCAAUUGGACAAACAUUUAUUGAAGAGCUGGAGUUCUGUGACCACAUUUUCUGAACUCUUAAGUCAUGAUAUGUGAGAUAAAGAAUGUUUUGGAUAUUCAGAUGAUAUGGAUCUUCUUUUUCCUUAAAUCUCAAGUGAAAUGAGACAAGAACUGUAUAUCCAGGCAACUGGAUUCUUCCUCUUGCAUUUCUCGAAUUGCUGGGUCCCCCGUGUGUAGACAAGACGAAACACUGCAAACAGCGGCGCCACGCCAAGGAAAGACACCGAGGGCGGCGCAGCACGUUGGGGAUCCCCUUAGAGAAGGGCGGGAAGGCACCCUGCCGGAAGGCUGACAAGCUGGAGGCGAUCACACGCGCACCCGGAUGCCUCAGGUUCCCCAACUCACGGCCCUUCGCCCUACAGAGCUCAUUUGUUUCUUAACUUGAAUUGCCUUGCGGCUCAUCUAAGACACAGAAAAUGAAAUAUGAUCAGCCAGGGAGCAGAAAAGAAAAUUCUUUUCAUCUUAGGCAGGCAGAGUUUUAAGAUUUGCGUUCUAGUUUUAGUUCAAAUUGCCCCUAUAAUUCUACUGUUUUCACCUGACUGUUGCACUAUUUUGUAUGUCUUUGUCUCACUGUAUUGGCAUCUGUUUAAUUGAAUCACAAACAGUAAAGAGCAAAUAGACAAAGAGAAUGAAACAACAGUAGAAUUUAGAAGUUAAAUAAAACACACAUUCAAUUUUACCUCUUUCCAGAGGAGCCUAUAUCAGCUCUAAGUCCUACUGCCUGAGACUGAAGUGAAAAUUGUGUCUACCAUUUGCCUUGGCCAGUAUACUUACUGGACCGAAACAUUCCUGUGAGAAAAGAUUGUGUUGUGUUUGUGUGUGUGUAUGCGUGUGUGCGUGUGUGUAUUUGCAUGGGCCAAAUACAUUUCUUAUGUCAAUAAUAAUAAUAAAGUAAACAUGCCAAGUUC